GAUGAACGCUAGCGGCAGGCUUAACACAUGCAAGUCGAGGGGCAGCGCGGGAUAGCAAUAUCCUGGCGGCGACCGGCGGAAGGGUGCGUAACGCGUGAGCGACAUGCCCGUUGCCCGGGGACAACCGGUGGAAACGCCGACUAAUCCCCGAUGGGAUAAUGUGCCGCAUGGCACGAUAUUGAAAGUUACGGCGGCGACGGAUUGGCUCGCGUCCGAUUAGCUUGUUGGCGGGGUAACGGCCCACCAAGGCUGCGAUCGGUAGGGGUUCUGAGAGGAAGGCCCCCCACAAUGGGACUGAGACACGGCCCAUACUCCUACGGGAGGCAGCAGUGAGGAAUAUUGGUCAAUGGGCGGAAGCCUGAACCAGCCAUGCCGCGUGCGGGAAGGAGGCCCUAUGGGCUGUGAACCGCUUUUGCCUGGGGGCAAUAAGGGCGUCGCGCACGUCCGAUGAGAGUACCAGGCGAAUAAGCAUCGGCUAACUCCGUG
rnacentral:rRNA from 1 species